rnacentral:rRNA from 1 species
UACGGAGGUGGCGAGCGUUGUCCGAAGUUACUGGGCGUAAAGCGCGCGUAGGCGGGCUCUUAAGUGAGAAGUGAAAGGCUGGGGGCUCAACUCCAUGCAGUGCUUCUCAUACUGGGGGUCUUGAGGGCGGGUAGAGAGAAGUGGAAUGGCUGGUGUAGCGGUGAAAUGCGUAGAUAUCAGUCGGAACACCGGUGGCGAAGGCGGCUUC